AAUCCUACCCUUGCUUUGAUGGAAAUGGAUGGUGCACAUUUAAGUAUAAACAGCAGAAAUGAAGACAGGGAAAGAUGAAGGGCAACAGCAAAGUCAACUGGGAGUCUAAACAUGGGAAAAACUGUCUUCAUGAAGAUGUGAAAUAUAUAAUUAGAAAUGAAUGAAAACUUCUCAUUCAAGCUAUAUAGAUAGAUAGAUAGAUAGAUAGAUAGAUAUCUGUUAUAUUAGAUGAAGACACCAAAAACAUGCAUUGGAGAAAAGAUAGCCUCUUCAACAAAUGGUGCUGGCAAAACUGGAAAUCCAUAUGAAACAAAAUGAAAUUAAACCCCUAUCUCUCACCAUGCACAAAACUCAACUCAAAGUGGAUCAAGGACCUAGGAAUUAAACCAGAGACACUGUGCCUAUUAGAAGAAAAAGUAGGCCCUAAUCUUCAUCAUGUGGGAUUAGGCCCCAACUUCCUUAAUAAGACUCCUAUAAUACAAGAAUUAAAAUCAAGAAUCAAUAAAUGAUAUGGAUUCAAACCAAAAAGCUUCUUCUCAGCAAAAGAAACAAUCAGUGAGGUGAAUAGAGAGCCUUUGGAGAAAAUUUUAACCACUCCCACAUCAGAUAAAGAAAUAAUCUCUAGGGUAUAUAAAGAACUCAAAAAGCUAAACACCAAAAAACCAAAUCGCUCAAUCAAUAAAUGAGCCAAGGAACUGAACAGACACCUUUUAGAAGAUGAUAUAUAAUCAAUCAACAAAUAUAUGAAAAAAUGUUCAACAUAUCUUAGCAAUUAGAGAAAUGCAAAUCAAAACUACUCUAAGAUUUCAUCUCACUCCUGUCAGAAUGGCAGCUAUUAAGAAUACAAACAACAAUAAGUGUUGGCGAGGAUGUGGGGAAAAAGGUACACUCAUACAUUGCUGGUGGGACUGCAAAUUGGUGCAGCCAAUAUGGAAAGCAGUAUGGAGAAUCCUUGGAAAACUGGGAAUGGAACCACCAUUUGACCCAGCUAUCCCACUCCUCAGUCUAUACCAAAAUGACUUAAAAACAGCAUACUACAGGGACACAGCCACAUGAAUGUUUAUAGCAGCACAAUUCACAAUAGCUAAACUGUGGAACCAACCUAGAUGCCCUUUAGUAGAUUAGUGGAUAAAGAAAAAUGUGGUACAUAUAUACAAUGGAAUAUUACUCAGCAAUAAAAGAGAAUAAAAUCAUGGCAUUAGCAGGAAAAAUGGAUGGAGUUGGAGAAUAUAUAGCUAAGUGAAGAUACCCAAUUCAAAAAAAAAAAUGCCAAAUUUUUUCUCUAAUAUAAGGAGGCUGAUUCAUAGUGGGUUGGGAGGGGGAACAUGGG
rnacentral:lncRNA from 1 species